CAAUAGCGUAUAUUUAAGUUGCUGCAGUUAAAAAGCUCGUAGUUGGAUUUCGGGUGGGAAUGGCCGGUCCGCCGUUUCGGUGUGCACUUGCUACGCCCACCUUGCUGCCGGGGACGUGCUCUUGAGUUCACGCUCGGGACACGGAGUCGGCGAGGUUACUUUGAGUAAAUUAGAGUGUUCAAAGCAGGCCUACGCUCUGAAUACAUUAGCAUGGAAUAACACGAUAGGACUCUGGCCUAUCUUGUUGGUCUGUAGGACCGGAGUAAUGAUUAAGAGGGACAGUUGGGGGCAUUUGUAUUCCGGCGCUAGAGGUGAAAUUCUUAGAUUGCCGGAAGACAAACUGCUGCGAAAGCGUCUGCCAAGGAUGUUUUCAUUGA
rnacentral:rRNA from 1 species